GCCCGGUUAGCUCAAGUAGGAACCCUCAUCUCUCGCUUCCAUCAAGCAAAUGACUAACCAAGCAACAGUCGGUAGAGCGCAAGACUCUUAAUCUUGAGGUUGCGGGUUCGACCCCCGCAUCGGGCU